rnacentral:rRNA from 1 species
ACGUAGGAGGCGAGCGUUAUCCGGAUUUACUGGGCGUAAAGCGCGUGCAGGCGGGGCGAUAAGUCGUGCGUGAAAGCUCCCGGCUUAACUGGGAGAGGUCGUUCAAUACUACUGGACUAGAGAGUGGUAGAGGGAGGUGGAAUUCCGGGUGUAGUGGUGAAAUGCGUAGAUAUCCGGAGGAACACCAGUGGCGAAAGCGGCCUCCUGGACCAUUUCUGACGCUCAGACGCGAAAGCUAGGGUAGCGAACGG